rnacentral:rRNA from 1 species
CAGUAGCCGCGGGAAUACGAAGGGUGCAAGCGUUACUCGGAAUUACUGGGCGUAAAGCGUGCGUAGGUGGUGGUUUAAGUCCGUUGUGAAAGCCCUGGGCUCAACCUGGGAAUUGCAGUGGAUACUGGGUCACUAGAGUGUGGUAGAGGAUAGUGGAGUUUCCGGUGUAGCAGUGAAAUGCGUAGAGAUCGGAAGGAACAUCUGUGGCGAAGGCGACUAUCUGGGCCAACACUGACACUGAGGCACGAAAGCGUGGGGAGCAAACAGGAUUAGAUACCCCAGUAGUCCCUGUCUCUUAUAA